UACGUAGGGUGCAAGCGUUGUCCGGAAUUAUUGGGCGUAAAGAGCUCGUAGGCGGUUUGUCGCGUCUGCUGUGAAAACUCGGGGCUUAACUCCGGGCCUGCAGUGGGUACGGGCAGACUAGAGUGCGGUAGGGGAGACUGGAAUUCCUGGUGUAGCGGUGAAAUGCGCAGAUAUCAGGAGGAACACCGAUGGCGAAGGCGGGUCUCUGGGCCGAUACUGACGCUGAGGAGCGAAAGCGUGGGGAGCGAACAGG
rnacentral:rRNA from 1 species